rnacentral:rRNA from 1 species
UACGGGGGGGGCAAGCGUUGUUCGGAAUUACUGGGCGUAAAGGGCUCGUAGGCGGCCAACUAAGUCAGACGUGAAAUCCCUCGGCUUAACCGGGGAACUGCGUCUGAUACUGGAUGGCUUGAGAUUGGGAGAGGGAUGCGGAAUUCCAGGUGUAGCGGUGAAAUGCGUAGAUAUCUGGAGGAACACCGGUGGCGAAGGCGACAUCCUGGACCAACACUGACGCUGAGGAGCGAAAGCCAGGGGAGCAAGCGGG